AUUGAACGCUGGCGGCAGGCUUAACACAUGCAAGUCGAGCGGGGUGAUGGUGCUUGCACUAUCACUUAGCGGCGGACGGGUGAGUAAUGCUUAGGAAUCUGCCUAUUAGUGGGGGACAACAUCUCGAAAGGGAUGCUAAUACCGCAUACGUCCUACGGGAGAAAGCAGGGGAUCACUUGUGACCUUGCGCUAAUAGAUGAGCCUAAGUCGGAUUAGCUAGUUGGUGGGGUAAAGGCCUACCAAGGCGACGAUCUGUAGCGGGUCUGAGAGGAUGAUCCGACACACUGGGACUGAGACACGGCCCAGACUCCUACGGGAGGAAGCAGUGGGGAAUAUUGGACAAUGGGGGGAACCCUGAUCCAGCCAUGCCGCGUGUGUGAAGAAGGCCUUAUGGUUGUAAAGCACUUUAAGCGAGGAGGAGGCUCUUUUGGUUAAUACCCAAGAUGAGUGGACGUUACUCGCAGAAUAAGCACCGGCUAACUCUGUGCCAGCAGCCGCGGUAA
rnacentral:rRNA from 1 species